rnacentral:tRNA from 1 species
GGGCCGGUGGUGUAGCUUGGUCAGCACACCGCCUUGACGCGGCGGAGGUCGCCGGUUCGAAUCCGGCCCGGCCCA